UACAGAGGUCUCAAGCGUUGUUCGGAUUCAUUGGGCGUAAAGGGUGCGUAGGCGGCGCGGUAAGUCGGGUGUGAAAUCUCGGGGCUUAACUCCGAAACUGCAUUCGAUACUGCCGUGCUUGAGGACUGGAGAGGAGACUGGAAUUUACGGUGUAGCGGUGAAAUGCGUAGAUAUCAGGAGGAACACCGGUGGCGAAGGCGGGUCUCUGGGCCGACAUUGACGCUGAGGCGCGACAGCGUGGGGAGCAAACAGG
rnacentral:rRNA from 1 species